CCUACGGGAGGCAGCAGUGGGGGAUAUUGCACAAUGGCGGAAACCCUGAUGCAGCGACGCCGCGUGUGGGAAGACGGUGCCCUGGAUUGUAAACUACUGUCCCCAGGGACGAAGAUGAGGGUACCUGGGGUGGAAGCUCCGGCUAAAUACGUACCAGCAGCCGCAGUAAUACGUAGGGAGCGAGCGUUGUCCGGAUUUACUGGGUGUAAAGGGAGCGUAGGCGGGACUGCAAGUUGGGUGUCAAAUCUACCGGCUCAACCGGUAGCCGCACUCAAAACUGCAGUUCUUGAGUGAAGGAGAGGCAGGCGGAAUUCGCAGGGUAGCGGUGAAAUGCGUAGAUAUUAGGAGGAACACCAGUGGCGAAGGCGGCCUGCUGGGGGUUUACUGACGCUGAGGCUCGAAAGUGUGGGGAGCAAACAGGAUUAGAUACCCUAGUAGUC
rnacentral:rRNA from 1 species